rnacentral:tRNA from 1 species
GGCCGUGUGGCGGAAUGGCAGACGCACUGGACUUAAAAUCCGGCACCAAUAAGGUAUUAUAGGUUCGAAUCCUAUCACGGCUA